rnacentral:lncRNA from 1 species
AUGGGAAGUAUACGAAAACCUCUCACAGCUUUGCCAUCAACAUCGACGGUUUGGUCUCCAUCUAGUCAUCUUGUCUGUUGGACUCAAUUUGACAAAUUAAUGGCUACAUUCUGGAGUCUGGACCCGAUAGAAAACGGAGUAUUUAUACAGCAGUUACAGUGUCGCUCAAAGUGGAAAGAAAGGAGAGAAUCAAUCAAAGAGGGGAUGUUGGUCAUACUCAGAGAAAAGUACCUCCUCCACUUUGCUGGAAGUUAGGCAGAGUAACGAAGACACCUGGAGCUGAUGGAUUAGUUCGCGUCGUAUCGUUGCGGACUAGCCAUGGACAAACAACGAGGGCCAUCUCGGAAAUUUCGCCCCUACCUGCGAUUUUUGAGGAAACCUCAACCGGGGGAGAAUGUUGAAGCAUAAUAUUUGUAUCAGCUGAUAUACAAUGCUGAUGAUAGCAAUUAAUUGCUUGUAAUUUAGAGUAUAACCUUACUUCAGUUACUUUUUACUUCAAGCAAGUCUCUUCUAUUUUUGUACUAAAGUAUCUUAAUAAAACUAUCAUUAAUUCCGUGGUAAUAACGCUUUAUAAUCUAACAAGACGGCAUUUUGGGCACGGAAUAGGGAGCUUCCCAGGGGAGCCCUGCAGGGAAGCCACUUCCCAAAGGAAUUAUUCCCCUGCCCAAAACCGCCUGGGUGAAAUCCUCAGGGGAAAUGUUUAGCAGGGAAGUACCUCAACGCGCUCAAAGAAAGGUUAAAAUGUUCCACAAGAGACGAUUAAUUGGGUGCGAUGAAUUUAGGUAUAUUAAACAUAGACAUGCACUGACAGCUCUCAAGGAUGGAACGUUUUUCACUCUCGCAUCUCGAUUGGACUUUUGAGCGCCUGCAAAUUACAAAUCAAGCAAAAAAAGACUCUCGCUGGUUUCAUUAUCAGGCUCAUUUCGCCCCGGCGGAUAUUGCUUCCGCGUAGAAUAAUUGUCCUUUUACGGCUGUUCGUCUAGUGCGUGUCCGAUUUGAUUGUUCGGCCAGGCCUAAUUGGUUGCAAAAAGAGACCAGACCGUCUCUGACGCUGGACGAGGUCGUUCUUGGAUCGAGAGGCACCUCAGCGUCAACUGUUUGCCUCGGUUCUUCUGCUCUUGGAUCAAAUAUGGGUAAUUGAUCUAAUACGACGCUUUUUCCCAUCAUACAUAAAACGGGGACCAAAUUGAGUGCGUAUAAAUGUGCCUAAUCUCUGAACAUCUACGGAUCCACAGGGCCGUAUAUUUACCGGAUCUCUCGAGCAUCAAUUGUUUGUUUAUGGACAUUGUCCCCACCUCAAAACCUCGAGUUAAACCUGUUGCUAAGUUCAGGUACCUAUCAUUUUCAUCUUUAUUACUCGGACCAUUUCGGACUCCCGCACCUUCUGCUGGCGGGAAAUAGCAUCCAAAUCAGAAAUGCACUAUGCAGAAUAUUAACCUGUAAGUAAGUGAAUCUGUAAGUUUGUCAGAGACCCAACUCGAUUUAGCGUAAAAGCUCGAAAAAAAUAAUAAAAUUAAGUCACCUAUACUAUCGGACCUUGAAUAAGUACCCGAUAAUUUUUAUUUCGGGAUGUCUCGAAAAAUGUCAGUUUUAUUACCAGUCGUUUCGAAUACCACGCAUUGAUAAAACCUCAACGGAAAUAAUGUUUUCGGGGUUUUACCGAUAGCGCGUAAUUUGCCUGUAGGUAUGCACUCGGGGGGGGGGGGGGGUGGAGGGGGGAGGGGUGGAGGGGGGGAGGGGGGGGAUAAAAAAAAUUAUUGGGAUUCUGCUGUCUGCCUUUGACGCGAAACUAGUAUUUAUUUAUCGUUUAUUUUCAUUUUGACGCUUUCCGGCGUAACUCGCGCCUUGGUGCUUUGAGGCUUUUCCACUUUUGUCUAAACAAGCAUGGGUGUUAAGUAAAAGGACGUACAGUUACAUUGACUACAAUUUCCACGCCAAAGGGGGGGGGGAAUCCUACGAAGGGACGAACUUCGUCUUGACUUACAAAUGGGGCGCAAUCAAAGAAGGCGGGGGGGGGGAGCCAAGGUCAAAACGAAGAGUAUUGAAAAGAAAAAA